rnacentral:rRNA from 1 species
UCGUAGUUGAAUUGUGGAGUAUGGCCACGGGAUUCAGUCCUUUUCCCACGGUCUAGGAACGUCCCGACCAUACUCCGAGAACGUCAGAAACUAAGAUCACGGAAGCGUUUUUUACAAACUGCCACCGACUACGCGAGCAAUGUUCGCUGGUGGACGUCCGUGUUUUUUACUGUGACUAAAGAAGUGCGACCAAGGCAGUCCAUCGACAUGAAUUAGAAAGCAUGGGAUAACAAAGCAGCAGCCUAUGAGCUACCGUUUAGGCUUUUGUUGGUUUUAAAGGUUCGUGGGAGAUUACGGGCGUGUAGGACCGGCGUUGGGGGUUUUCCAAAAUCCCCGCGUCUCCUCCUGGCAUCGGAAACGGUGCUUGCGGGGCCUGCUUCGCUCAGGAAUGAAGGAGGGUUGCUCGGGGGAAAACGUACUUGGGCGUGAGAGGUGAA